AAACCCUGUCGGGCAACUUAUGCCCCAAGUUCACCUCAAUGCACACCCUUGCCUCACUAGGUCGUCUCAAGUCGGUGGUGGCCUCAUCAAUUCUCAAGGGCAUUCCUAUUGCCCCAGAUAAAGCGAAAAGGAACCCCUUCGCACGUAAAUGUACUGGAAGCAGAGGGAACGAUACCCAUACGGGAACUAUCGGAGUCUCUUGCUCAGGUGUAAAGUCACAUGUCCACUUAAGGACUCUCAUCGGAUUUGGAUAAGUUGCCCGACAGGGUUUGGAUUGAGCGUGCUGGUAACCGUGGCUUCUGGCAGACAGUUAUCUAUGAGAAGCGGCCGUUUUUUUGCUUCUCUUGUAAACACUUGGGUCAUUCUUAUGAUCAGUGUACUACGGUUCCUCCUCCUCCUCCUGCAGUUGUUGUGCACCCCCCUGUUCGGCCCCCUAUUACUAGGACUGAUAAGGAUAAGGGCAAGGUGACGUUUGUGGAGCCAAAGAAGCAGUGGGUUCCAGUUUCAGCAGUGCCUUCUGUGCUUCCCACUACUACUACCGCAGUUGUGAUAGAGUCAGAAUCUGCAUCGACAGUUCCUACCUCUACUCGUAUCACAGUUGAUCCAGAGGUACCUCCGUAUAUUCAUUCAGUUGCUGAGCCUACUCCAAAUGCUCCUAUCGAGGUACCCACUUCUCCUAUUAUUACUUCCAUAGCUCCUAUUCCCACAGCUACUACUGAUGUACCCCCUGAGCCGACGCAUAUGAGUUCUCCACCAUUGAAG
rnacentral:lncRNA from 1 species